rnacentral:lncRNA from 1 species
CACGAUCCAUCAAGUGUACAUAUAAUCGAAAACAAGUACACAAGCACCAAAACAUGGUGGCAACAUCAACUAAAACUACUGUGCACAUCCCCAAGCGUUGCUGAUCUAGUACCAGCCCCAGCCCAAGGUGCACCAGCCCCAGCCCCAGCCCCAGGCAGUCGCAUAUUUUUGCUUGUCUGGUCAUGGUCCUUCUCCUGCGCAUCCAAUUCAGAAGCAAACUCAUAGUAAGUUUCACAUAGAAGUAGCAAUUUGAAUGAGAAGCAGCAACAACAAUUUGAUUUGAAGGAGGAGCAGCAACAACGGCAAGUACUUUCUGCUCAUUAGGAUAGCAACAAGAGCAGUUUGACAUAGUAGGAGCAACAUCAGUUUGAUGAUAGCAUCAGUACCUGAUAUCAGCAAAAGUAGUUUGAAAUAUCCUUGGGCGGCCGAAGAUGGUGAAAUGAUGAUCUGAUUGUUCUUAGACAGUGGUAUUAAAAGAUAGGCUUUUAGAGUAAAAAAAUUGGCUCCAAUCAGCCUGCAUACAACAAGUAAUAAAAUUAUUAGGAGAGAGUAUACAGUUACCAACAGCAUGCAUAAAACAACUUUGAUGAUGUAAUUUUUACUAAAAAUGACAACCAGGUUUCAAGUAUAUCCCCAUCAUUAACAUCAGACAAUUCUAAAUGUAAACGAGAUGGCAUUUGUAUAGACCUAGAAUCUCAUAUGUUGCCAGAGCUAGAAAAAAUGAGAUAUUCACUAGCAAAUGAAAAUAGGGACCUGCUGGAAACAUCACACUACGAAUGAGAUAUGGUGCAUAUUU